AUUGUUGGCCCGGCCUUACAACAACCAAACAAGUUUGACCUCAAAUCAGGUAGGAAUACCCGCUGAACUUAAGCAUAUCAAUAAGCCGGAGGAA
rnacentral:rRNA from 1 species